rfam:Salmo salar isolate Sally breed double haploid chromosome ssa11, whole genome shotgun sequence.
UGCAUUCACUACUGUAAGUCGCUCUGGAUAAGAACCGUCUGCUAAAUGACUCAAA